AUUGAACGCUGGCGGCAGGCCUAACACAUGCAAGUCGAGCGAGCGGCGGACGGGUGAGUAAUGUAUGGGGAACUGCCCGAUGGAGGGGGAUAACUACUGGAAACGGUAGCUAAUACCGCAUACCAUCGGAUGUGCCCCUAUGGGAUUAGCUAGUAGGUGGGGUAAAGGCUCACCUAGGCGACGAUCCCUAGCUGGUCUGAGAGGAUGAUCAGCCACACUGGGACUGAGACACGGCCCAGAAUCCUACGGGAGGCAGCAGUGGGGAAUAUUGGACAAUGGGGGGAAGCCCUGUGCAGCCAAGCCGCGUGUAGGAAGGAGGGCUUAGGGGUGUAAAGUACUUUCAGCGGGGAGGCGUUACCCGCAAGAGGAGCAACGGCUAACUCCGUGCCAGCAGCCGCGGUAAUAC
rnacentral:rRNA from 1 species